AGUGAACGCUGGCGGUAGGCCUAACACAUGCAAGUCGAACGGCAGCACAGUAAGAGCUUGCUCUUACGGGUGGCGAGUGGCGGACGGGUGAGGAAUACAUCGGAAUCUACUUUUUCGUGGGGGAUAACGUAGGGAAACUUACGCUAAUACCGCAUACGACCUACGGGUGAAAGCAGGGGAUCUUCGGACCUUGCGCGAUUGAAUGAGCCGAUGUCGGAUUAGCUAGUUGGCGGGGUAAAGGCCCACCAAGGCGACGAUCCGUAGCUGGUCUGAGAGGAUGAUCAGCAAAACUGGAACUGAGACACGGUCCAGACUCCUACGGGAGGCAGCAGUGGGGAAUAUUGGACAAUGGGCGCAAGCCUGAUCCAGCCAUACCGCGUGGGUGAAGAAGGCCUUCGGGUUGUAAAGCCCUAUUGUUGGGAAAGAAAAGCAGCAGGCUAAUACCCCGCUGUUCUGAAGGUACCCAAAGAAUAAGCACCGGCUAACUUCGUG
rnacentral:rRNA from 1 species